GUGGUAGAAGAACACGGUACCUCGAAGGAGAACGAAGUACGAAUCGUCCAAAACUCUCCAGCCUCAGAUUACCUUAACCACCACGAGACAAUAGACACUCGAAAACGACACGAAAACGAGUGUUGAAUAGUUACAUGUGCGUCCUUGUUACGAAGAGGUCAGUCUGUCGAGGAUCGUCCUUGGAAUCGCUCGUCCCUGAAGCCGGCUCAAGGAGCUAGUGAUCUCAAAAACAAAAAUGGCGGACGUUGACUCGAGGGUGGAUCAUUCAGAUCCCGAAUUGCGAUUCCUUUCAGUUGACAGGAAUAAUUUUAAUGAUCCUGCAACUCAAGCCGAAUGGACACAGAAAAAAUUAGUUUGGGUACCUCACGAAACUCAGGGUUUCGUUGCAGCCGGGAUAAAGGGUGAACGGGGUGAUGAAGUCGAAGUGGAGAUUGCCGAAACUGGAAAACGGGUCCUUGUCGCAAAAGAUGAUAUUCAGAAAAUGAAUCCACCAAAAUUUGAUAAAGUUGAAGAUAUGGCUGAAUUAACGUGUUUAAAUGAAGCUUCUGUACUGCAUAACCUCAAAGACAGAUACUACUCCGGCCUCAUUUACACAUACUCAGGACUAUUCUGCGUGGUGGUAAAUCCAUACAAGAGGCUGCCAAUUUACACGGAAAAGAUAAUGGAGAGGUAUAAGGGUAUUAAGAGACACGAAGUUCCACCCCAUGUUUUUGCCAUUACGGACACUGCAUACCGUUCUAUGCUUCAAGAUCGUGAGGACCAGUCAAUUUUAUGCACCGGUGAAUCCGGCGCUGGUAAAACUGAAAACACGAAGAAAGUAAUUCAAUACUUGGCGUAUGUUGCUGCCUCAAAACCGAAAUCGAAUGCGACACCAAGUCCGGCAUUAAUCAUAGGUGAAUUGGAACAACAACUUUUACAAGCAAAUCCGAUUUUAGAAGCUUUUGGGAAUGCAAAAACAGUGAAAAAUGACAACUCAUCCCGAUUUGGUAAAUUUAUACGAAUAAACUUCGAUGCUUCCGGUUACAUUGCUGGUGCAAACAUAGAAACGUAUCUUCUGGAAAAAUCAAGAGCAAUUCGACAAGCAAAAGAUGAAAGAACUUUCCAUAUAUUUUAUCAACUUCUAGCUGGUGCCUCACCUGAACAAAAGAAGGAGUUUAUCUUGGAAGAUCCAAAACACUAUCCAUUCUUGUCCAAUGGCGCAUUACCAGUUCCAGGAGUAGACGAUUCAGCUGAAUUCUUCUCAACCGUAAAAUCUAUGCAUAUCAUGGGCAUGACAAAUGAAGACUUUUCUUCAAUUUUUCGUAUUGUAUCUGCGGUGAUGCUUUUCGGUUCCAUGCAAUUCCGUCAAGAAAGAAACUCGGACCAAGCUACGUUACCGGAUAAUACCGUUGCUCAAAAAAUUUCUCAUUUGUUAGGUUUGAGCGUGACGGAAAUGACGAAAGCAUUCUUAAAACCAAGAAUUAAAGUCGGUAGAGAUUUUGUAACAAAAGCACAAACAAAAGAGCAAGUUGAAUUUGCAGUAGAAGCAAUUUCAAAAGCUUGCUAUGAAAGAAUGUUUAGAUGGCUUGUGAACAGGAUCAAUAGAUCGUUGGAUCGAACGAAAAGACAAGGAGCAAGUUUUAUCGGUAUCUUAGAUAUGGCCGGUUUUGAAAUAUUUGAAUUAAACAGUUUUGAACAAUUGUGUAUUAAUUAUACUAAUGAAAAAUUACAACAAUUAUUCAAUCAUACCAUGUUCAUUUUGGAACAAGAAGAAUAUCAAAGAGAAGGAAUUGAAUGGAAGUUCAUUGAUUUUGGAUUAGAUUUGCAACCAACUAUCGAUUUGAUUGAUAAACCAAUGGGUAUUAUGGCAUUGUUGGAUGAAGAAUGUUGGUUUCCCAAAGCAACAGAUAAAACAUUUGUUGAAAAAUUAGUAGGUGCUCAUAGCGUGCAUCCAAAAUUUAUGAAAACAGAUUUCAGAGGUGUUGCAGAUUUUGCUAUUAUACAUUAUGCUGGAAAGGUUGAUUAUUCAGCAGCUAAAUGGUUAAUGAAGAAUAUGGAUCCUUUGAAUGAAAAUGUUGUUAGUUUAUUACAAAAUUCACAAGAUCCGUUCGUUUGUCAUAUUUGGAAAGAUGCAGAAAUUGUCGGAAUGGCUCAACAAGCAUUGACAGAUACACAAUUUGGUGCACGAACAAGAAAAGGCAUGUUUAGAACAGUUUCUCAAUUAUAUAAAGAACAAUUGGCAAAAUUAAUGAUUACUCUAAGAAAUACUAAUCCCAAUUUUGUGAGAUGUAUUAUACCCAAUCAUGAAAAAAAAGCUGGAAAGAUUGAUGCACCAUUGGUAUUAGAUCAACUGAGAUGUAAUGGAGUUUUAGAAGGAAUUCGAAUUUGUCGACAAGGAUUUCCAAAUAGAAUACCAUUUCAAGAAUUCAGGCAAAGAUACGAACUUUUAACACCGAAUGCAAUUCCUAAAGGGUUUAUGGAUGGAAAGAAAGCUUGCGAGAAGAUGAUUCAAGCUCUUGAACUUGACCCUAAUCUUUACCGCGUUGGUCAAUCAAAAAUUUUCUUUCGUGCUGGAGUUUUGGCUCAUCUUGAAGAAGAACGUGAUUAUAAAAUUACUGAUAUAAUUGUCAAUUUUCAAGCAUUCUGUCGUGGUUUCCUUGCUCGUAGAAAUUAUCAAAAACGUUUACAACAGUUAAAUGCUAUUAGAAUUAUUCAGAGAAAUUGUGCUGCUUAUUUAAAACUUAGAAAUUGGCAAUGGUGGCGUUUAUAUACUAAAGUAAAACCACUUUUGGAAGUAACAAAACAAGAAGAAAAAUUAACUCAAAAAGAAGAUGAAUUAAAACAAGUACGAGAUAAGUUAGAAUUACAAUUACAUUCUGCACAAGAAUAUGAACGGAAAUAUCAACAAGCUAUGGAAGAAAAAACUAUGUUAGCAGAACAAUUACAGGCUGAAGUUGAAUUAUGUGCAGAAGCAGAGGAAAUGCGAGCAAGAUUAGCAGCCAGAAAACAAGAACUGGAAGAAAUUCUUCAUGAUUUAGAAACAAGAAUUGAAGAAGAAGAAGAAAGAAGUGCUGGUUUGGCUCAAGAAAAAAAGAAGUUACAAUUAAAUAUAAGUGAUCUUGAAGAGCAAUUAGAAGAAGAAGAAGCUGCUAGACAAAAAUUACAGCUAGAAAAAGUACAAUGUGAUGCAAAAAUUAAGAAACUGGAGGAAGAUCUUGCACUUUCUGAUGAUACAAAUCAAAAAUUAUUAAAAGAGAAAAAAAUUCUUGAAGAAAGGGCAAAUGAUUUAUCUCAGACACUUGCUGAAGAAGAAGAAAAAGCAAAACAUUUAUCAAAAUUAAAAGCAAAACAUGAAGCAACAAUUGCAGAUCUUGAAGAAAGGUUGUUGAAAGAUCAUCAACAAAGACAGGAAGUGGAUAGAUCAAAGAGAAAAAUAGAAACUGAGGUAUCAGAUUUGAAAGAACAACUUGCAGAAAGAAAGACACAGGUAGAAGAAUUUCAAUUGCAACUUGGUAAACGUGAAGAAGAAUUAAAUCAAAUAAUGGCAAAAAUGGAUGAAGAAGGUGCAGCUAAAGCUCAAGCGCAAAAGGCUCUUCGUGAAUUAGAGUCUCAAUUAGCUGAACUUCAAGAAGAUUUAGAAGCUGAGAAAAUUGCUAGAGGAAAAGCUGAAAAAUUAAAACGAGAUUUAAAUGAGGAAUUGGAAGCAUUGAAAAACGAAUUAUUAGAUUCUUUAGAUACAACUGCUGCUCAACAAGAAUUAAGAAGCAAACGAGAACAAGAAUUAGCAACAUUAAAAAAGAAUUUAGAAGAAGAAACAUCGAUACACGAAGCAACGUUAGCAGAUAUGCGUCAUAAACAUACACAAGAAUUAACUGCUUUAAAUGAACAAAUGGAUGCAUUGAAAAAAACUAAAACUGUUUUAGAAAAAGCAAAAGCAACAUUAGAGGCAGAGAAUGCUGAUUUAGCUACAGAACUUAGAUCUGUUAGUGCUAGUAGACAAGAGUCGGAUAGAAGAAGAAAACAAGCAGAACAACAACUUGCUGAAAUAAAUGCAAAACUUGCAGAAGUGGAAAGAAAUAGGCAAGAAUUGGUAGAAAGAGUAACAAAAUUACAACAAGAAUCUGAAAGUAUUAUGCAACAAUUGGAAGCAGCAGAAUUAAAAGCUUCUGCAGCUUUAAAAGCUUCAGCAACUUGUGAAUCUCAAUUUACUGAACUUCAGCAACAACUUGAGGAGGAAACUAGACAAAAAUUAGCUUUAAGUUCAAAACUGAGAGCAUUAGAAAGUGAAAAGGAAAGUUUACAUGAUCAAUUGGAAGAAGAAGAAGAAGCAAAGAGAGCUUUAGAUAAACAGGUUCUGGGCUUAAAUGUUCAGUUGGCUGAAGCAAAGAAAAGAGCCGAAGAAGAAGCUGAAGCCGCUGCAGCAUUAGAAGAAGCAAGAAAAAGAUGUAUGAAAGAUAUUGAAGCACUUCAAAGACAAGUUGAAGAAUUGCAAGCUGCUAAUGAUAAAUUAGAUAAAUCAAAAAAGAAGAUUCAAGCAGAAGUAGAAGAUAGUAUUAUUGAACUUGAAGCGCAAAGAGCAAAGGUGCUGGAAUUGGAAAAAAAGCAAAAAAAUUUUGACAAGGUGCUGGCCGAAGAAAAAGCGGUCUCCGAACAAUAUGCUGAGCAACGCGAUGCUGCCGAACGUGAGGCUCGAGAAAAAGAAACUCGUGUCUUAUCUUUAACUCGUGAACUUGAUGAAAUGAAUGAAAAAGUUGAAGAACUUGAACGAAUUCGUCGUGGUUUACAAUCAGAGCUCGAUGAACUUGUAAAUAAUCAAGGAACAGCAGACAAAAAUGUACAUGAAUUAGAAAAAGCAAAACGAGCUCUUGAAUCUCAAUUAGCGGAACAACGUUCUCAAGUAGAAGAACUAGAAGAUGAAUUACAGUUUACAGAAGAUGCAAAAUUGCGUCUAGAAGUAAAUAUGCAAGCUUUAAGAGCUCAAUUCGAACGAGAUUUACAAGCUAAAGAAGAACAGGCUGAAGAGAAACGAAGAGGAUUAGUAAAGCAAUUACGUGAUCUUGAAGCAGAAUUAGAAGAUGAAAGAAAACAAAAAGCUGCUGCUAUCGCACAACGUAAAAAGAUGGAAGCAGAUUAUAAAGAUAUUGAACAACAAUUGGAAAUGCACAAUAAAGUGAAAGAAGAUGCAUUGAAACAAUUAAAGAAACUUCAAGCCCAAAUAAAGGAUUGUACUAGAGAAACCGAAGAAGCUAGAGCUGCUAGAGAUGAACUGGCAGCAAGUGCUAAAGAAACUGAGAAAAAAGUAAAAAGCCUAGAAGCAGAUUUGAUGCAAUUAACUGAAGAUUUUGCUAGCAGUGAACGAGCUAGAAGAGCUGCUGAAAAUGAAAGAGAUGAAUUACAAGAGGAACUCAAUAAUAAUGCUAAUAAGGGAACAUUGAUGUUAGAUGAAAAACGUAGAUUGGAAGCUAGAAUAGCAACAUUGGAAGAAGAAUUGGAAGAAGAACAAUCAAAUGCUGAAUUACUAAUGGAUAGAGCUAGAAAAGCUCAAAUAACUAUUGAGCAAUUAACAAAUGAUUUAACAACUGAAAGAUCAACUACACAAAAAUUGGAAUCGCACAAAUUGUUAUUAGAAAGACAAAACAAAGAAUUGAAAGCGAAACUUACAGAAUUGGAAACUGCUCAAAGAGCAAAAACCAAAGCAACUAUUCAACAAUUGGAAUCAAAGAUUAACAAUCUUGAUGAGCAAUUAGAAACUGAAGCAAAAGAAAGAUUUGCACAACAAAAGAUUAAUAGAAAAUUGGAAAAAAAAUUGAAAGAAUUGAGUUUACAGUUAGAAGACGAAAGAAGAAAUUCAGAUCAAUAUAAGGAACAAGCAGAAAAAGUUAAUGCUAGAAUGAAAGCUUUAAAAAGACAGCUUGACGAAGCUGAAGAAGAAAUUAGUAGGCAUAAGGCAAUGAAAAGGAAAGCGCAAAGAGAAAUGGAUGAUAUGCUUGAAUCUCAAGAAGAACUAACCAGAGAAGUUGCAAAUCUUAAAAAUAAAUUAAGGCGUCGAGGGAAAAAGAAUAGUUCAUACCCCACGUGAAAAAAGCGGAAAUUCUUCAAGUCUCAAGCAUUCCUCGAGUCUUGACGAGGUGGACCUCCAAUAAGCCUUAGUUCGACGCGUCUGAAACGCGGUUCCGUUCAAACCGGUGGAUCCGGCGAUGAUUCAACGACUCAGGACGAAAGCAUCGAUGGAAAUCCAUAAACCCAGGUCCAAGAAGUGUGUACAAGAUACGCUUCGACCAAAAUUGAGUUCGAAUCGGAGAACUCGUUUCUAUGAGUUCAGAAGUCGAUUCCAAUGCACCCAACGAUGCCAUUAGAUGAGGACGGCGGCUUUCUUCUGUACAUAAAAAACCCGACAGGGCCGUACCAAGUAGUAUUUUAUUUCCGUUUUUUCGGAAAUCUGCAAAAAAUGACGAUUUUCUUUGGAUAGCUUGAAACAAAUAAUCCUCUUAUAUUUUUUACAAAGAGCUUAUUAAGAUCUUUUAAUAUUAAUAAGCAAAAAGAAGGUUGUACAAGUAAAUUUGUAUCAAAUUUUUUUAAGUUCAGCGUCCAAGAUAUACGCUUAUAAAAUAUGUAAGUUAAUACGCGUUAACAAUGCUUGAAUGCCAUACUCUGUACACGCUUUAUAUUAGACAUUCUUUCAAUUACUUUAUUGUUUUAAUAUUUUUGUCAUUUUUUGUGGAAAACGCUACCAUUUUGUCGGGUAAGAUUGAAACUAGAAAUAUAUUAUUGGGGCUGCAUAAUCGAUAAUGAAUUAACAUCGCAUUUAGGCAGCAUUAAUAUCUAUUAUAAUUAUAUUAUAGUUAUAUUAUUAUUAUUAAUUAUUAUUAAUUAAUAUUAUUGAUGCAGUUUUUAUUUUUAUCGCGAAAAAUAUCGUAAUAUAUGUUAUUUGUAAUUAUUUUUUAAUAAUCGAGUCAAUGAUAGAUGAUUUUGGUAUCGUUCCGAACAGUAUAAGAGUAUAGAAUUUUCGAAAAGCUAAAACUAUUUUUGUUUAUCAAAAUGUUUAAAAGAAAUUAUUUUUUAAAAAUAUAUUAAUUAACAUAAAAUUGAUUGAAUAUAAAAUAAAUUUAAAAUUUCUGAGAAAGUCGAUAUUAUUUUUUAAUGAAGUUUAGUAAAAAGUCAAAGCGAAUCGAAAUGAUUGAAUAAAUGUUUAAGAAAAAAUUUGUCCUUAUACCAAAUUGAAAAAAAAAAAUUAUUUUUUAAAAAAAAAGUUUUAUUUACGUUUUGUUCAAAUUUCUUAGCAAUUACUUUUUUUCUGAUUUUUUUUUUAAAUAAUCAUUGUAUAGACAUUUUCUUUAUUUUCGAUCAAAUAAACUCACCUGUCGGAACGAACCAGAAAUCAAUAAUUGAAAUUUAUCAAUUGGGUACUUAGGGCCGAUCGUAGAUCAAGAACUUUUUCGUUUCGUACUAUUCCGUUUUAAGUGCAUCGAAAAAUCUAUGAAUGUUUCAAAUCAUUCUUUUAUAAUGUGCAUGAAUAUAUUUGAAAUAUAGUAAAAAUAAUUUUUUAAAUUUGUAUGCAUGUUAAUAUUUUUCUAAUUUUUCAAGGAACUACUUUAAUUCCAUUUAUAUUUUUAAAUAAAAAAACUUUUCUAACACAUUUUUCGAUGCAUAUGAAAUUGAAUUUUCGAAAAUUAUAUAAUGAAAUUAAAAAAAAGAAAUAGAAAAAGCAGCAAUGUUUUUUAUAUGUGCAUUUUUUAUAACAUAUGCAUUUCUUAUGCAUUAGAAAAAAAUUUUUAUUAACGAAACCUCUUUUUGCACGAUUUAAGCAAAAAAAGUGAAAUUUAUAACAAAAAAAAAAAAAUGAAAAAUUUCUAUAAGAUAAAGAAAAAAAUUAUUUUUCUUAAAUGAAAUACAAAAGAUCAUUAUUCGUUAAUAUUUGCAAUUAAAUCAAAACGUAUAGAAUAAGUAAUGUGCUUCUGCUUGUUUCUUCGAGAUGUCAAUCAUUUUUUGAUUAAAUAAAUGUUUUUAAAAAUAAUUAUUUGAAACAAAAAACAAAAGGAGGUUAAUAACAAUCGUAUAUAUUAUGCAUUUGUAUAUACAUAGAAAAUAAUUUUUUUGUUAUACAAUCCAAAUCGAGUGAUAACACUAUAUGUCGGUAUAUAUAAUUUGGCAAUCACUCGUUAUUAAAUAAGAGAAAAAUAUUCAAAUAAUUAUAUACUUAUAAAUAUGAAAUAAAAACAGAAUUAUGGAUUGAUACUAAUUUUGGAUUGUAUGGAAAAAGAAUUACUGUGUAAUAUACAUAUAUAGAAUAUUAUAAAGUAUUGGGCAUUUAGUAAACAAAUUUAUAUCGAAAAUAAUUUUUUUAAUUAUUCUAUAUAAUCUAUUUUUUUUUUCUAUAAAUUUAUUUAAUCCUUUAAUCAUAUUCAAAAAUUAAGUGUAUGCGUCAAGAAUUUAUAUAAAUAUGAAUUUUUUUAUAUCAAAAGUACUUAAUAUGUAUAGUGCAUACUGCCAAUUUUCAUAUUAAAAAAAACUAGAUAAUUUUAUAAUAAUGAACAUUUAAAAAUAUAAAUUACUUUUAAUAUAAAAAUAUUGUUUUCUAAAUGCAACAUACUUUAUUGUACGCUCUAUAUACUUAUAAGGAUUAUUCUAUUUUUUGAUACGGCAAAGUGAUUGUAUCUGGACGAAACCGGCCUGUUUUUUACAUUAACAGCUUUCUAGUGAUUUUUUAAGCGGGCUUUCAAAUUCACAAUUGAACUGCCAUCUCAUACUAUCGUGGAUCAUUUUCUCCACGUAAAAGUUAUAAUAAAUUUGAAGACCUUUUGAAUAAAUUUAAUAAACUUUAUAUAUAUAUUUUCGACGGAUUUACUUAAUGACAAAUAAAUUAUAAUUUCAUACGUAAAAAGGAUUUAUGUAAUGAAUUAUGUUUAUCGAAUAGAAAAUAUAAACGUCGACGAAGCAUUAGUAAAGUAAAAUUUAUUUUACGUGAAAAUACAUAUAUAUGUAUUUUUUUUAAAUAAAUACAUAUAUAUGUACCCGUUUUGGGUUUAAAAAUAUAGAUGAAAGCAUUGAACCUGAGGAUUAUUUAUGAAGUAUAUAAAAUUUAAAUCUGAAACGCUAAAAAGUCGACAACUAUUUCCUCAAAUGUAUUUCUUUUCGAUGGAAAUUUGGAUGAUUGUAAAAAAUAUAUUUUAAUUGUGCAAAACCAUCAUUCGUAUAAUAAUAAUUAUUUUUAUCGUAAAUAAUAAAUAAUGUAAAAAAAUUCAAACUAUAUAAUUCUAUUGAAAUAAUAUAAUAUACUCAUAAUAAACAUUUUUAAGUUUUUUUAUUUUUAAUAUUUAAAAUGGAAAGUUUUCAUAAUACUCUCUUAUUAAAAAAUUAAGCAAUAUGUUUAAAAUUUUGAAUUUAAAUAUUUCGAAAAAUCAUUAUUUUUAUUUUAAAAAAUAUCAAAUUAUUAAAACAAUGUUUUUUUAAAAUUUAUUUAUAAUAAAUUAUCUAAAAUGAUACAAAUUUAUAAAAAUUAAAAAUUCAAAAUUUAAUAACAUAUUUUUUAUAAACCAUCCAAAAUUUCUCUAAAAGAAAGACAAGCCUAGAUCAUCUAAUGUAAUUUGUGAAUCGCUGUGAAUUUAUGUAAAUAAGUGCAGAAAAUAAUUUUCAACAUGGUGCGUUUUAUUUAAGCAAUUAUUACUAAUAAAAUUAAUAACUUCGAAAUUAUAAGUAUCAUCACUGUUUAAUACUAUAAAUUCCAAUGGAAUUGGAACAGAUAAGUAUAGAAAAUUAAGUAAAAAGAUAAAAAAAAAGGAAAGCGUUAAGUGCGUAGGAUUUGACCAGCAAAAUAAUAAACCUUUUUGAUACAUUUUAUAUAGAUAUAAAUCAAAUAUUAACACUUAAAUAUGUUAAAACAAAAGCAUAAUAAAUGCUGAAAAUUAAGAUUAAUGGAUAAA